CUGCAGCCACUUAAGUAACCUUUGUUCAUGGGGCCUGCUGUGCAAUGGCUGCAGGCCUUUGCACUCUUGGUGAUGCACACAGCCUAUGGCUUCAUGAGUUUGUCCCUAGGAACCUUAGAUUUUCAG
ensembl:snoRNA LOC120101231 small nucleolar RNA SNORA70